rnacentral:rRNA from 1 species
ACCGGAGGAAGGUGGGGAUGACGUCAAGUCCUCAUGGCCCUUAUGGUGGGCUACACACGUCAUACAAUGGUCGGUACAGAGGGUUGCCAAGCCGCGAGGCGGAGCCAAUCCCACAAAGCCGAUCGUAGUCCGGAUUGUUCUCUGCAACUCGAGAGCAUGAAGUCGGAAUCGCUAGUAAUCGCAGGUCAGCAUACUGCGGUGAAUACGUUCCCGGGUCUU